UAAACGGCUCUUAUAAGAGCCACCCACUUUUUUAAAAGAGUAUGU
rfam:Ciona savignyi cont_1067, whole genome shotgun sequence.